GAGGUCUUAGCUUAAUUAAAGCAGUUGAGUUGCAAUCAAUUGAUGCAGGAUAGAGUCCUGUAGGCCUUA
rnacentral:tRNA from 1 species